GGUUCCAGAAGACAUCUUCCCCCCGCUCUAUGUUUGUCAACUCUGUGCUUUGAAAGGGAAAGAGGACCAAUUAACAAAAUGAAGUAAGCAACACGCUGCAAAAAGCCUUAGCCCGAGCUAGUAUAUAGUAAUAUUCGUGGACAAACACCCACAACAACGCUCAUUUUCGCAUUUCUCAUCUUUCUCUCGCGAGCAAACAGAUUGUCAUUUUAUGGAUAAGACGGUACCUGGCAACGAGGUUCCCGAGGAGCUGACUCGAGAGUCGCUUAUUGCGAUUUCUUAUUCUCUUCCAGACAAGGAUCCUGAUUCAAAACUCCCGUCUGAAACAUUGAAUGGUGAAAAUCUUGUUGGAGGGAUUGAAAGCAAAAGAGAAGAAAAGUACAGGUCUGAGCUGAUUUCUAUUUCCUACACACAAUCUCCCGACUCUGGGAGUCAACCUGUUACGCCUAGCGAGCUCAAAGGUUAGCCUAGCCUGGACAGCAGGUCCAAUCUUUAUGGCUAGUUGUUUUAUGUUGUGCUGUAGCACUGUCAUAAUAUUAAGUGAAUGGAUACAAGGCGCCUUUACAUGUCUUUCUGGAAGUUGACAUUAUUGCAAAAUAAACCUCUCAAAGAAUUCUGCACUGUUUUGAGUGAGGAAGCUUUAUUUGGGCUAAAUGAUAGUGAAACCAUGUACUCAUCUUCCUUGCUA